GUCAAAUUUGGUGCUCAAUGUUGUGAGAGCUACGUCAUAGAUGGUGUGACGUCAACGUGGGUCAUUUGCAUAGCUAGGUCAGUAGUCCCAUUCCUUGAAAAUGUGGCAGUCAAGUGAUGCAUUUAAUGAAAUGAGUGUAAAUGAUCGGUAUAAUAGGACAAAAUCGUUAAUGAAUUAAAUAUUUAAUUACAAACAUCAUGGAUAAUCUACAGAAUUCAAUAUUUCACAAGGAGCAAUCAUGGAACUAAGGAAAACUUGCGUGAAGUUCCCCGGGAUAAUGGUUAGCAACGUCCAGGGAUAUGGGUUAGCAACACCCAGGGGCUAUGGGUUUUGUAACGACGUGCGUUAACCAAUCAAAAUCCUAGAUAUAUACUAAGCCGGGAUAAUGUUUGAUAUCUACUCAUCGUGUUAGGGGGUCAUAAAGGGUAUAAAUCAUGUAGUAAUAUAUAAAGUAUAUCAUAAUGGUUGUGUGGCGUUCUAAACGAAAUUUUAUGAAUUAGAAAUGUUUUUUUGUUUAUUCUAAAACAGCUGGAAUGUAAAAUAGUUAUCCCACUCGGGCUUGGUGUGUCAGUGAUGAUCUUA
rnacentral:lncRNA from 1 species